rnacentral:lncRNA from 1 species
CUGAGAGUCACAUUUGAGACUAUGGCUCAAACUCUUGGAGAAGCGGAGAAGCAGUCUUUUUUCAACUGAGGCACUAUACUCUUUAUUACUCCUUAAAGACGGAAAUACCAGGAAGAAAACCAAGCUAGAGGGCGGCAAAGCUGAGCAGUGGAGAACAGCAAGUUCCUGAUGACAUUGUUUGAUGGCCUAAACCCCACUAUACCUCCAGUGGUUAUCUCCCUGGACUUUCCUGUUAUAUGGAAAUUAUCCCUUUUGUGUUGAAGCCAAUUUGAGUUGGAUAUCUGUCACUUAUGACCAAAAAGGUCCUAAUGUACUAGUGAACGCAGAGCACAUACUGUGAGCACCUACUCUUUUUUUUCUUUCUUUCUUUCUUCCCCGCCCCCCCGAGACGGAGUCUUUCUCUGUCACCCAGGCUGGAGUGCAGUGGUGCAAUCUCAGCUCACUGCAACUUCUGCCUCCCGGGUUCAAGUGAUUCUCCAGCCUUGGCCUCCUGAGUAGCUAGGACUAUAGGCACGUGCCACCAUGCCCGGCUAAUUUUUGUAUUCUUAGUAGAGACAGGGUUUCACCAUGUUGACCAGGCUGGUCUCGAACUCCUGACCUUGUGAUCCGCCCACUUCGGCCUCCCAAAGUGCUGGGAUUACAGAUGUGAGCCACCACACCCGGCCCAAGCAUCUACUCUUCUCAAGACAUUUCCAGAAAAACAAAUACAGAUAAGAAAGGAUCAGUCUUCAAAGAAGUUGGAAGCUGGUGAGGGAUAACAAAGAUUCUCCAAAAACUUUAAAACAAGUCAGAACACAAUUGACAGCACAAGGCAGCUACCCGGGUUCUCGGGUUAAUGCAAAGGCCAAGGUAGAAUUUAGUUCAGACCUCCAAAUAAAGCUUCCAGAAGACCUGAUUCAGAGACAGCAUUACCUAACGAGGAUGGCUGAGCAGCGCUGAGUCUGAAGUGGAGACAAGGUCUGGAUCUCCAAGGGACAGAGCAACAGAAAUACUCCUUACUUCCCUG